rnacentral:tRNA from 1 species
GAGGCUGUAGUUCAACUGGAAGAACGCCUUCUUUUCAGGAAGGAAGUUGGGAGUUCGACUCUCCCUAGUCUCA